GACGAACGCUGGCGGCGUGCUUAACACAUGCAAGUCGAACGGAAAGGCCCUGCUUUUGUGGGGUGCUCGAGUGGCGAACGGGUGAGUAACACGUGAGUAACCUGCCCUUGACUUUGGGAUAACUUCAGGAAACUGGGGCUAAUACCGGAUAGUAGCUCCUGCUGCAUGGUGGGGGUUGGAAAGUUUCGGCGGUUGGGGAUGGACUCGCGGCUUAUCAGCUUGUUGGUGGGGUAGUGGCUUACCAAGGCUUUGACGGGUAGCCGGCCUGAGAGGGUGACCGGCCACAUUGGGACUGAGCUACGGCCCGGAGUACUGCGGGAGGCAGCAGUAGGGAAUAUAGCACGAUGGACGGAAGCCUGAUGCAGCAACGCCGCGUGAGGGAUGACGGCCUUCGGGUUGUAGACCGCUUUCGCCUGUGACGAAGCGUGAGUGACGGUAAUGGGUAAAGAAGCACCGGCUAACUACGUG
rnacentral:rRNA from 1 species